rnacentral:rRNA from 1 species
AGCGAACGCUGGCGGCAGGCUUAACACAUGCAAGUCGAGCGGGCACUUUCGGGUGUCAGCGGCGGACGGGUGCGUAACGCGUGGGAACGUGCCCUCUGGUUCGGAAUAACUCAGGGAAACUUGAGCUAAUACCGGAUACGCCCUUUUGGGGAAAGGCUUGCUGCCGGAGGAUCGGCCCGCGUCUGAGUAGCUAGUUGGUGAGGUAACGGCUCACCAAGGCGACGAUCAGUAGCUGGUCUGAGAGGAUGAUCAGCCACACUGGGACUGAGACACGGCCCAGACUCCUACGGGAGGCAGCAGUGGGGAAUAUUGGACAAUGGGCGCAAGCCUGAUCCAGCCAUGCCGCGUGAGUGAUGAAGGCCUUAGGGUUGUAAAGCUCUUUUAUCCGGGACGAUAAUGACGGUACCGGAGGAAUAAGCCCCGGCUAACUUCGUG